GAGAAAGUUUGAGAGAAUUUCUGAAAGAAUAGAAUCAAGCACUUAAGGAAGAGAAGGUGAUAUACUUUCUAUACACAAUCAUUAUGCAGCUCGAGAUACCCAAAAAAAAUAUGUGUGAUUAAUGUAUUUAAUGUUUGGAUGGUUCUUUUGUUAGUUAUAUUGGGACGACAUGUUCCAAUUCCGAAUACAGGGUCAAUCUGCUGAUCUAGAUAUCCACCAGUCCCGGGGCUAAUUGAAAAUAAAAAAAGUGGACAACACAUAUACUAAAUCGUCUCUACAUUCGGUGAGUUAUGGUUUAAGUUAGAAAAAAAGUUUCAGGUUCUAAGAUAGCGGCCUGGUGGAAGGUAAAAAAGUAGACAACCCAUAUACUAAAUCUGGUUGAUUUGGAUGGGUUGGGUAAUGGUCAAAGUGAACCGUUAUACAUUAAGAUCAAGGUGGGAAGUCACAUUUGACAACCUACAUUAUUUUGGAAAUUUUGAAGUAGUUGAGGUAUUAAUUAGAAUUGAAAGCUCAGUAACUUGUAAUGAUACUUUAACUUCAAAAGAAAAUCGUAUUUUCCCUGCACCUCUUAUGUACUUCCAGGUUGGAACAUAUUGGUGAAAGAAGAGUUGGCUCCUCGAUGUCAAUGAAAGGCUGAUGAAUUACUAUCAAGUUUGGAUGACACCUUUAAGUUCAGCUCGGUUAUAUAUAUGAUCUUGCAGCAUUUGGUUCCAAGACCAGAAUUGGAGCAGAUUAAGCAAGAGAUGCAAGAUAAGCCCACUGUUGUUUAGCUGGCAUCCGUGUUCAUCGCUCAGAAGUAGACAUGAGAAAGACAUGGAAAGAUAGGACCAGAUUGCAGGACAUGGAAAGAUAUCAUGAAGGCAAUAGCGAAAACUCAAAAGGAGUGCAGUGAAAGCGGGUCUACGAGUACAAGUCCUGAUCUCCGAAGGGUGCCCCGACCUUGGUGUGGGAGAACUUCGAAUCAACAGCAAGAAGUGAUGAUGGAAGUUACACUUAUAAUAUUUCUGAAGUACAAGGCCUAUUUCAAUAUGCUUUGCUAUGACGAUAAACAAGAGCCAAGGACAAUCACUCGAUUGUGUUGGUUUGUAUCUUCCACGACUAGUUUUUAGUCAUGGCCAAUUGUAUGUAGCAGUCUCGAGAGUCAAAAGCAAGAAAGGAUUGAAAAUUCUAAUACAAGAUAAAACAGUUGGAAGUCAAGAACACAACCACAAAUGUGGUCUACAAAGAAGUGCUUCAAUGCUUGUGAAGAUAAAUAUAUUGCUAACAAAGUCAUGGCAUAUUUCAAUCAAGCAGGAAACAUGUUUUGUUACAAAUACGCUUAAUGUCUUAUAUAAAUCCCGGCUUAAUAUCUUUUGUUACUACCUGUAAUAUCUAAUGUACAAAUCCUACUUUGUCCUGUUUA